CCUACGGGAGGCAGCAGUGGGGAAUAUUGCGCAAUGGGCGAAAGCCUGACGCAGCGACGCCGCGUGAGGGAUGAAGGUCUUCGGAUCGUAAACCUCUGUCAGCAGGGAAGAACGGUCACUGUGCUAAUCAGCAGUGAAUUGACGGUACCUGCAAAGGAAGCACCGGCUAACUCCGUGCCAGCAGCCGCGGUAAUACGGAGGGUGCGAGCGUUAAUCGGAUUUACUGGGCGUAAAGCGAUCGUAGGCGGUAUGUCAAGUCAAGGGUGAAGUCCCCGCGCUCAACGUGGGAACUGCCUUUGAAACUGGUAAACUGGAGUGUGUGAGAGGAUAGUGGAAUUCGAGGUGUAGGAGUGAAAUCCGUAGAUAUCUGGAGGAACAUCAGUGGCGAAGGCGACUAUCUGGCACAUAACUGACGCUGAGGAGCGAAAGCGUGGGGAGCAAACAGGAUUAGAUACCCUAGUAGUC
rnacentral:rRNA from 1 species